GCUCUCGUAGUUCAAUGGAUAGAAUAGAGGUUUCCUAAACCUUCGAUUCAGGUUCGACUCCUGACGAGAGCA
rnacentral:tRNA from 1 species